rnacentral:rRNA from 1 species
GAGCGGCGGACGGGUGAGUAAUGCCUAGGAAAUUGCCCUGAUGUGGGGGAUAACCAUUGGAAACGAUGGCUAAUACCGCAUGAUGCCUACGGGCCAAAGAGGGGGACCUUCGGGCCUCUCGCGUCAGGAUAUGCCUAGGUGGGAUUAGCUAGUUGGUGAGGUAAGGGCUCACCAAGGCGACGAUCCCUAGCUGGUCUGAGAGGAUGAUCAGCCACACUGGAACUGAGACACGGUCCAGACUCCUACGGGAGGCAGCAGUGGGGAAUAUUGCACAAUGGGCGCAAGCCUGAUGCAGCCAUGCCGCGUGUGUGAAGAAGGCCUUCGGGUUGUAAAGCACUU